AAACGUCCCGCCCCUCAGCUCAGUGGCAUGUGCUCCUGUUGUAUUGUAAACAUCGUCAAUAUGGCUUAUCAAUUUGAGCCCGAUUGAGACCCAGAGAAUAUUAGUGAUGAGGAUUGUGCAGAACCUGUGCAAGCAUGGCUUUUAAUGGGUACAAUGUGACUUGGAAAUGUUUAAGGAGAUGCACGCUGUCUGUUAUAAUAAUAUGAUGAUGACGAUAAUCAGGUGACCCAAAGGACAUUUUACCCAGCAGCAUCCUGUCUGUUAAAGUAUUCAGAUGACAAACGCUCCAAACAAAAGUGUGUCUGACUGGGACAAAAGGAAGACACUGAUAUCACAAAGGAUGCUAUUGAAAUUAAGGACAAAAGAUGUUGUGUCCAUUACACAUUCAGUUUCAGCUUCUGGUUCCCACUCAGAGAUUUAUGUAAAGUUUUACAUUUUGAAGUAUUAAGAAUAUUGAUGUGGUAAGUAAAAUGUUUGCAUUGUGAUGUUAAAUUGAUGCCAAAUA